AGUGAACGCUGGCGGUAGGCCUAACACAUGCAAGUCGAACGGCAGCACAGUAAGAGCUUGCUCUUACGGGUGGCGAGUGGCGGACGGGUGAGGAAUACAUCGGAAUCUACUUUUUCGUGGGGGAUAACGUAGGGAAACUUACGCUAAUACCGCAUACGACCUACGGGUGAAAGCAGGGGAUCUUCGGACCUUGCGCGAUUGAAUGAGCCGAUGUCGGAUUAGCUAGUUGGCGGGGUAAAGGCCCACCAAGGCGACGAUCCGUAGCUGGUCUAGAGGAUGAUCAGCCACACUGGAAUUGAGACACGGUCCAGACUCCUACGGGAGGCAGCAGUGGGGAAUAUUGGACAAUGGGCGCAAGCCUGAUCCAGCCAUACCGCGUGGGUGAAGAAGGCCUUCGGGUUGUAAAGCCCUUUUGUUGGGAAAGAAAAGCAGCAGGUUAAUACCCCGCUGUUCUGACGGUACCCAAAGAAUAAGCACCGGCUAACCUCGUG
rnacentral:rRNA from 1 species